rnacentral:rRNA from 1 species
AGCGUACACGGUGGAUGCCCUGGCAGUCAGAGGCGAUGAAGGACGUGCUAAUCUGCGAUAAGCGUCGGUGAGGUGAUAUGAACCGUUAUAACCGGCGAUUUCCGAAUGGGGAAACCCAGUGUGUUUCGACACACUAUCAUUAACUGAAUCCAUAGGUUAAUGAGGCGAACCGGGGGAACUGAAACAUCUAAGUACCCCGAGGAAAAGAAAUCAACCGAGAUUCCCCCAGUAGCGGCGAGCGAACGGGGAGGAGCCCAGAGCCUGAAUCAGUGUGUGUGUUAGUGGAAGCGUCUGGAAAGGCGUGCGAUACAGGGUGACAGCCCCGUACACAAAAAUGCACAUAUUGUGAGCUCGAUGAGUAGGGCGGGACACGUGGUAUCCUGUCUGAAUAUGGGGGGACCAUCCUCCAAGGCUAAAUACUCCUGACUGACCGAUAGUGAACCAGUACCGUGAGGGAAAGGCGAAAAGAACCCCGGCGAGGGGAGUGAAAAAGAACCUGAAACCGUGUACGUACAAGCAGUGGGAGCCUCUUAAUGGGGUGACUGCGUACCUUUUGUAUAAUGGGUCAGCGACUUAUAUUCUGUAGCAAGGUUAACCGAAUAGGGGAGCCGAAGGGAAACCGAGUCUUAACUGGGCGUUAAGUUGCAGGGUAUAGACCCGAAACCCGGUGAUCUAGCCAUGGGCAGGUUGAAGGUUGGGUAACACUAACUGGAGGACCGAACCGACUAAUGUUGAAAAAUUAGCGGAUGACUUGUGGCUGGGGGUGAAAGGCCAAUCAAACCGGGAGAUAGCUGGUUCUCCCCGAAAGCUAUUUAGGUAGCGCCUCGUGAAUUCAUCUCCGGGGGUAGAGCACUGUUUCGGCAAGGGGGUCAUCCCGACUUACCAACCCGAUGCAAACUGCGAAUACCGGAGAAUGUUAUCACGGGAGACACACGGCGGGUGCUAACGUCCGUCGUGAAGAGGGAAACAACCCAGACCGCCAGCUAAGGUCCCAAAGUCAUGGUUAAGUGGGAAACGAUGUGGGAAGGCCCAGACAGCCAGGAUGUUGGCUUAGAAGCAGCCAUCAUUUAAAGAAAGCGUAAUAGCUCACUGGUCGAGUCGGCCUGCGCGGAAGAUGUAACGGGGCUAAACCAUGCACCGAAGCUGCGGCAGCGACACUAUGUGUUGUUGGGUAGGGGAGCGUUCUGUAAGCCUGUGAAGGUGGCCUGUGAGGGUUGCUGGAGGUAUCAGAAGUGCGAAUGCUGACAUAAGUAACGAUAAAGCGGGUGAAAAGCCCGCUCGCCGGAAGACCAAGGGUUCCUGUCCAACGUUAAUCGGGGCAGGGUGAGUCGACCCCUAAGGCGAGGCCGAAAGGCGUAGUCGAUGGGAAACAGGUUAAUAUUCCUGUACUUGGUGUUACUGCGAAGGGGGGACGGAGAAGGCUAUGUUGGCCGGGCGACGGUUGUCCCGGUUUAAGCGUGUAGGCUGGUUUUCCAGGCAAAUCCGGAAAACCAAGGCUGAGGCGUGAUGACGAGGCACUACGGUGCUGAAGUGACAAAUGCCCUGCUUCCAGGAAAAGCCUCUAAGCAUCAGGUAACAUCGAAUCGUACCCCAAACCGACACAGGUGGUCAGGUAGAGAAUACCAAGGCGCUUGAGAGAACUCGGGUGAAGGAACUAGGCAAAAUGGUGCCGUAACUUCGGGAGAAGGCACGCUGAUAUGUAGGUGAAGCGACUUGCUCGUGGAGCUGAAAUCAGUCGAAGAUACCAGCUGGCUGCAACUGUUUAUUAAAAACACAGCACUGUGCAAACACGAAAGUGGACGUAUACGGUGUGACGCCUGCCCGGUGCCGGAAGGUUAAUUGAUGGGGUUAGCGGCAACGCGAAGCUCUUGAUCGAAGCCCCGGUAAACGGCGGCCGUAACUAUAACGGUCCUAAGGUAGCGAAAUUCCUUGUCGGGUAAGUUCCGACCUGCACGAAUGGCGUAAUGAUGGCCAGGCUGUCUCCACCCGAGACUCAGUGAAAUUGAACUCGCUGUGAAGAUGCAGUGUACCCGCGGCAAGACGGAAAGACCCCGUGAACCUUUACUAUAGCUUGACACUGAACAUUGAGCCUUGAUGUGUAGGAUAGGUGGGAGGCUUUGAAGUGUGGACGCCAGUCUGCAUGGAGCCGGCCUUGAAAUACCACCCUUUAAUGUUUGAUGUUCUAACGUUGGCCCGUUAUCGGGGUUGCGGACAGUGUCUGGUGGGUAGUUUGACUGGGGCGGUCUCCUCCUAAAGAGUAACGGAGGAGCACGAAGGUUGGCUAAUCCUGGUCGGACAUCAGGAGGUUAGUGCAAUGGCAUAAGCCAGCUUGACUGCGAGCGUGACGGCGCGAGCAGGUGCGAAAGCAGGUCAUAGUGAUCCGGUGGUUCUGAAUGGAAGGGCCAUCGCUCAACGGAUAAAAGGUACUCCGGGGAUAACAGGCUGAUACCGCCCAAGAGUUCAUAUCGACGGCGGUGUUUGGCACCUCGAUGUCGGCUCAUCACAUCCUGGGGCUGAAGUAGGUCCCAAGGGUAUGGCUGUUCGCCAUUUAAAGUGGUACGCGAGCUGGGUUUAGAACGUCGUGAGACAGUUCGGUCCCUAUCUGCCGUGGGCGCUGGAGAACUGAGGGGGGCUGCUCCUAGUACGAGAGGACCGGAGUGGACGCAUCACUGGUGUUCGGGUUGUCAUGCCAAUGGCACUGCCCGGUAGCUAAAUGCGGAAGAGAUAAGUGCUGAAAGCAUCUAAGCACGAAACUUGCCCCGAGAUGAGUUCU